GCGGCGGACGGGUGAGUAACACGUGGGCAACCUGCCUGUAAGACUGGGAUAACUUCGGGAAACCGAAGCUAAUACCGGAUAGGAUCUUCUCCUUCAUGGGAGAUGAUUGAAAGAUGGUUUCGGCUAUCACUUACAGAUGGGCCCGCGGUGCAUUAGCUAGUUGGUGAGGUAACGGCUCACCAAGGCAACGAUGCAUAGCCGACCUGAGAGGGUGAUCGGCCACACUGGGACUGAGACACGGCCCAGACUCCUACGGGAGGCAGCAGUAGGGAAUCUUCCGCAAUGGACGAAAGUCUGACGGAGCAACGCCGCGUGAGUGAUGAAGGCUUUCGGGUCGUAAAACUCUGUUGUUAGGGAAGAACAAGUACAAGAGUAACUGCUUGUACCUUGACGGUACCUAACCAGAAAGCCACGGCUAACUACGUGCCAGCAGCCGCGGUAAUACGUAGGUGGCAAGCGUUAUCCGGAAUUAUUGGGCGUAAAGCGCGCGCAGGCGGUUUCUUAAGUCUGAUGUGAAAGCCCACGGCUCAACCGUGGAGGGUCAUUGGAAACUGGGGAACUUGAGUGCAGAAGAGAAAAGCGG
rnacentral:rRNA from 2 species